CUUGAAGUUGCAACUAUAGCUGAAUUUUCUCUCCUUUUAUAGGAUUUUUCUGGUUUUUUUCCUUGAUGUAGUCUAACUUCAUUUGUCAUGCAUCUUUGCAUAACAAAUCACAUGAUAGUAAGAAAACCUGUCAUUUAUAAGCCAUAUUACCUUAAGUUAGUUUUAAUUAAGCCACUAUAUUACACACAGAAUAUAUUAUAUCCAGAGGCAAUCACUUUUAGAAUCAGGCUGGUCAACAUGGAUGAGGCUAACUUUAUUCUUAAACUUUUCCAACACUAUGGUGAGAAAGUUGAAGGUUAGGGUUCAACUUGCUGGACUUGGACCUGUCCUGAGAAAGUGGAGGUAUGAGACCUAGAAUUGAACUUGGUCCUCCAAGAUAGUAAAGCAUUUAUCAUCAUGAAGAAUUAUUACUUUAACAAAACAAUUAGAGAGGUGAUUGGAACUCUGCAAUAUAUCAUAUUUUACAUCAGUGAUUUUCAACCAGUGUGCCAUAUAAAUUUUUAAAGAUCAUUAAAUUAAUUUUGAAAGAAGC
rnacentral:lncRNA from 1 species